AUCGAACGCUGGCGGCACGCCUAACACAUGCAAGUCGAGCGGCAGCGAGAGUAGUAGCAAAACUACUUGUCGGCGAGCGGCGGACGGGUGAGGAACACGUAGGAAUCUACCCAGAAGAGGGGGAUAACCAAGGGAAACUUUGGCUAAUACCGCAUAAUCUCGAGAGAGAAAAGCUGCCCGCAAGGGUGGCGCUUUUGGAGGAGCCUGCGUCCGAUUAGCUAGUUGGUAGGGUAAAGGCCUACCAAGGCGAUGAUCGGUAACUGGUCUGAGAGGACGACCAGUCACACUGGGACUGAGACACGGCCCAGACUCCUACGGGAGGCAGCAGUGGGGAAUAUUGGACAAUGGGGGCAACCCUGAUCCAGCGAUGCCGCGUGAGUGAAGAAGGCCUUCGGGUCGUAAAGCUCUUUAGGUUGGGAAGAAGGUUGUAGGGGUAAUAUCCUUGCAAUUUGACGGUACCGACAGAAUAAGCACCGGCAAACUCUGUGCCAGCAGCCGCCGUAA
rnacentral:rRNA from 1 species